UACGUAGGGGGCAAGCGUUGUCCGGAAUUAUUGGGCGUAAAGCGCGCGCAGGCGGUUCUUUAAGUCUGGUGUCUAAGUGCGGGGCUCAACCCCGUGAUGCACGGGAAACUGGAGAACUUGAGUGCAGAAGAGGAGAGCGGAAUUCCACGUGUAGCGGUGAAAUGCGUAGAGAUGUGGAGGAACACCAGUGGCGAAGGCGGCUCUCUGGACUGUAACUGACGCUGAGGCGCGAAAGCGUGGGGAGC
rnacentral:rRNA from 1 species